rnacentral:rRNA from 1 species
AAUGGGCGCAAGCCUGAUGGAGCAAUGCCGCGUGCAGGAAGACGCUUUUCGGAGUGUAAACUGCUUUUCUGAAGGAAGAUUAUGACGGUACUUCAGGAAUAAGGAUCGGCUAACUACGUGCCAGCAGCCGCGGUAAUACGUAGGAUCCAAGCGUUAUCCGGAAUUACUGGGCGUAAAGCGUGCGCAGACGGUUUGAUAGGUCAGUUGCGAAAUCCCAUGGCUCAACCAUGUGGACUGUAAUUGAAACCAUCUGACUAGAGGUAGGUAGAGGCAAGUGGAAUUUCUGGUGUAGGGGUGACAUCCGUAGAUAUCAGAAGGAACACCAAUGGCGAAGGCAGCUUGCUGGGCCUUACCUGACGUUCAGGCACGAAAGCGUGGGGAGCAAA